CCUACGGGAGGCAGCAGUGAGGAAUAUUGGUCAAUGGACGCAAGUCUGAACCAGCCAUGCCGCGUGCAGGAAGAAGGCUCUAUGAGUUGUAAACUGCUUUUGUACGAGGGUAAACGCAGAUACGCGUAUAUGACUGAAAGUAUCGUAAGAAUAAGGAUCGGCUAACUACGUGCCAGCAGCCGCGGUAAUACGGAGGAUUCAAGCGUUAUCCGGAUUUAGUGGGUUUAAAGGGUGCGUAGGCGGUCGGUUAAGUUAGAGGUGAAAGCCCGAGGCUCAACUUCGGAAUUGCAUCUGAUACUGUUCGGCUAGAGAGUAGUUGCGGUAGGCGGAAUGUAUGGUGUAGCGGUGAAAUGCUUAGAGAUCAUACAGAACACCGAUUGCGAAGGCAGCUUACCAGGCUACUUCUGACGUUGAGGCACGAAAGCGUGGGGAGCAAACAGGAUUAGAUACCCUUGUAGUC
rnacentral:rRNA from 1 species